rnacentral:rRNA from 1 species
GGAUCAAUAUGUCGGUCGUGCCAUCGGUACGUACUGGUAUCACUGGUUUCUCCUUUCUGACGAACCAUGAUGUCAUUAAUUUGGUGUUAUGGGAAGUUAGGACUGUUACUUUGAAAAAAUUAGAGUGUUUAAAGCAGGCAUUAGCUUGAAUACAUUAGCAUGGAAUAACGAAAUAGGACGUUCGAACCCAUUUUGUUGGUUCCUAGGAUCAACGUA